GAUCCAGCUGUGAAAACAGGAACUGCAGCUUAUUCUGCUUUCUACAAGACUCAAGAUAAGAUGGAAUGCUGGUGGAUUCUGCUAAAUUUUGUCAGCUUUUCCUGAGGUUAAAAGGAUGGCAGAUUCAACACUGGCUGCCACCUUUAGAAGCAGCCAUCUUGGAUGAUGAGGCAACUUGAUGAUGGCAACUAUGUACUAAGGAUAGAGGAGAAGAAAGAUAGAAAGAGCCUGCAUCCCUGAUGAUGUUGAAAGACUGCAUCCUAGCCAUGGACUGCCUCCUUCUGCAGUUCAUAUUAUCUCUGUGAACCUUGAAGUCACCAGCAGAGAAACCCCAAGGAAGGGCUGAGGUUGUUCCAGUUUGGGUGAAGGUCUAUGUGGCCAGGAAGAUGGGACACUGGGAUUGGCCCAGCCUGGGUCACACAGCCACCUUGGUGGUGGUGUUGGUAGGAGGCAGAGUCAAUCGAGUGUGGUACCAGAAUGGGGCAAGGAAGUGAGUGCUGGAAAACAAAGACUGGAGCUCUCAUAUGCCUCUUAUUUGCCUCUUGAGGAUAUUGAGAAAAUACACGUCUGCUAAACUCCUUGAAAUUUUUUGUACCAGUAAUAUAAGGAAUCGCUAUCAUCAGCAUUCUCAUCCCAGUCUUUGCGGCCUUUUUCUUUCCUAUCAGACUUACACUAGAUUUAGAUCUCACUUCUUUCAGUGCUGAGGCAGCUCCUGGAAGGCCCUGCAAAGCUAAAACCCCAAUCGCCCCUCCCACCCCACCACUACACUGGUGACAGAAU